rnacentral:lncRNA from 1 species
AAACUUUUUAAAUUAAAUUGAAAUUUAAAUUUAUGAAAUUUAAAAAAGUUUGUUUUUCAAUUUAAAGUUUAAAAGGGGGUCACAGAAAGGUCAUAGUUGUCUGUAAUAUGUAUUCCUACACUUGCAAGUUAAAAUGGAGGGAUUUUUGAAAAAUAUCAGCAAAUAGUAUUAGAAAAAGUCACAGGGAAAGAAAUAAUAAAUGUGUUAUAUGGGAUCAGGGGACAGUGAAAGAUGGAAAAUAUGGGCUUAUUUCUUUCUAAUAUCUUAUUUCUGGGACCUGGAAACAGAAAAUAAACCCAUAGUUUCAGUUUUAGGUUUUUAAUAAGUUUUUGAUAAAUUGUGGCUAUUAAAUAAAUCAUUUAAGUGCCACGGUUCAGUUAUGAAAGUUGUGUGCGAAUCCAGCUAACAUUUAUUUAGAGCCGCAUCACAUACAUAGCCACAUAUUAUUGUGUGAACUCAGAAACACUUGCCAGGGGCUCUCUAAUUUUACAUUUUUUGGAAGAUAUUUAAGGGGUAGGGCUAUAAUAUAGCUUAUACAAGCAAUUUAAACUCAAUGUACAACAAUUUAAGACUCCCUUUUAAAGAUUUUGAUGGUCCUUAAAAGGACCGUUAAUUUUAUCUGUAUCUAUUUCAGCAGUAAAUGAAUAGAGCUAUAUCUUCCUUGGUUUUGGAACUUUUGGAGAUCUGCUUCUGGUUAAGGAAACACUUAGUGCUCUUUUAAUAGUUUCACUGUUUGAAUUUCAUUUUAAUUAAUGCUUCUUUCCUAAGUUUCAUUUUUAAAAGUUCCUGCAUUAUUAACUUGUCUUUGUUAUCUAUAUUCAGGUUGGUGAACUUGGACUAAAGUACAUGGAUCCCAGCCACCAACAGUUUCAGUGUCCAAGAGAACACACAUAUGAACUAGUGGGACAUUUAGAGCAGUCAAAAGUACAACAACGCACAGUAGCGUUAGGCGGUCAGGAAGAUCAAGGAUUUCCCUUCACAUCUGUUAAACUAUAGGAGGUGCUGUUUGACUGGUUUUAGCUACAAGUGAG